rnacentral:misc_RNA from 1 species
UUGAAUACACUUGGUUAGGUUGCUGCUGGCUUCUUGAAGUAUGUGCACACCUACACCAAUUUCAACCACCUGUGCACAUUGUGUAGAUCUUGGAUACUUAUAGAGGAUAGAUAUUAAUCUGUCCUUGUAUUCAAGUCUACAUUUAUAAUAUCACUCCAUAGGAAUGUAUUAGAAUGUUUUUAAUAGGCCUUUUUGUGCCUUUAAAAUUAUAAA